UAUUAUCGAGACCUCACCGACGGAGGGACAAUGUGUUACUCUUGCAGUUGAGAAAACGUUGUUAAAUCAACCACGAAACAAAUAAUAUUUUUUAACAUACGGUCUGUAUAUUAUCAGGUCCAUUUGAAUGCGACACGCUGGUUUACGACAUCGAGAACAUAUGUAUAGGUUAGGAAAACGCCGAUACAGGACCAGCAAGUAUGUCUCCAUAUUAUAGUGGUUUCAGAAGUCAGCUGCUUCUCGGAAGAAGACUCAAAUGCUCCGGUUUUAUUUAACUUCGUUGUCACAAACAUUUGGAAUUCGCAAAACGAACGGAAAAAAUACCAGAAAUGAAGUGACAGUGUAUCGACAAUACUUCCAUCUGUAGACCUCGCGCAUGGACAUAGAUAUUUAUGUUCAAUACGUAAACUAUAAUUUUACAUUACUAGGCCUAUAUACAAUUAAAGGACUGUUUUUAAAGACGCUUGGCUUGUAGAUAUUAUAUUGAUUGCUCACUGGAAACAUGUAGCGCGUUAGGAUGUGUAUUCAUUUUGAUUAUUCUUUGCGGAAAGACAAUGUAUGUGAUAGCGUGAAGAAAUCCAGGUAAGGCUGCUGAUGUGUAGGUUUGUAGUUACAGUUUGUUUCUGUGCAUGCAUUAAGCAUGUCCUUUAUGUUAAUAUAGAACGUGGAUCACCUCCCCUGUCGUAUCUCUUUUCUGGAAACAUGUAGUCUAGUGAAUUGCUUUCGCUGGCUUGUUUACAUGGCGGCUAAGCUGCACCCCUAACUGUGUAUGCUGUGCAGGGACUCUGAACCGGUUUGAUCCGAUGUAUAAAAAUGUUGUUGUCCCGGUUCGAGACAAGGCCAAUCCAUACGACACUAAUGGUGAAUGCCUCUAUAUAGGAACACCAUUUUCUCUAAAUUCUAUGCUUCUUACACAGUUUUACCGAUUUAACUAUUUGCUUUAACAUUAAUUGUUUUAAAAUAUAUGUUAAUAACAUAACAUUCUACUUUUUGAGAAUCGAUCAGGCAGUCUUAGUGUGUGCUUUAUAGCUUAUCGUGUUUAAUUUUUAUAGGCCUGAUGUUUAGAAUGAAGUCGUUUACUUUAACACCUCUCUGUAUAAACUCUGAAGUGAAGUGAUAUUUAAAACACCCGGUAAAAUCCACUCCGGAUUCUUGAACUGUGUAACCUGAUGACGGCAAUCUUCGCUUCACCGCUAAAGCGAAGAAAACACUGAAUCACCAGAGUCAAACUGUAAAGUGCUGAGGUAUAAAAGAGUCCCUUCAUCAGUAAUGAGCAAAUAUUUGUACGUCUGAGCCAGAGAUAGUGACAACCUAAAUAUAAACAAUAUAAGUUUUAUUUGUGGUGGAAUUUUCUUGCGUUGUUUGGAAAAUUAAAUUCUGAGCAGAAAACGGAGAAUGCAACAAAAGCGAGAAGUUACGAUUUCAAUCCAGUGAUGCUAAUAAUUACCGGCAUUAAAUGUAUAUUGAAAACAUACAA